rnacentral:rRNA from 1 species
UGCUUAACACAUGCAAGUCGAACGGGAAAUUUUGUAGCAAUACAAAGUUUGCCGUGGCGAACGGGUGCGUAACACGUGGAGAACCUCCCCUCGAGUGGGGAAUAACCCGCCGAAAGGCGGGCUAAUACCGCAUAAAAUCUCCGUGGCUUCGGCUGCGAAGAUCAAAGCAGCAAUGCGCUUGAGGAGGGCUCCGCGCGCGAUUAGCUUGUUGGCGAGGUAACGGCUCACCAAGGCAAUGAUCGCUAGCCGGUCUGAGAGGAUGGCCGGCCACACUGGAACUGAGACACGGUCCAGACUCCUACGGGAGGCAGCAGUGGGGAAUCUUGCGCAAUGGGCGGCCCCUGACGCAGCGACGCCGCGUGGGGGAUGAAGCCCUGCGUUUUGUAAACCCC